rnacentral:rRNA from 1 species
UACAGAGGGGGCGAGCGUUGUUCGGAAUUACUGGGCGUAAAGGGCGCGUAGGCGGCCUCUUAAGUCGAACGUGAAAUCCCCGGGCUCAACCCGGGAACUGCGUCCGAUACUGGGGGGCUUGAAUCCGGGAGAGGGAUGUGGAAUUCCAGGUGUAGCGGUGAAAUGCGCAGAUAUCAGGAGGAACACCGGUGGCGAAGGCGGAUCUCUGGGCCUGUUCUGACGCUGAGGCGCGAAAGCUAGGGGAGCGAACAGG